rnacentral:lncRNA from 1 species
ACCUAAUGGAUAACUCCCAUUAUUUAGAGUCCCACAAAGCACAAAGCAAGCAGCAUUCAGACAAGGGUAACAAUCUCAAUCAAUGCUAAGUUCAUACUAUCUGCUUACAGGAGCUUGUACUAGCAUACAAUGCUAAGUUCAUACUAUCAGGCAUAACCUAAUCAGGCUAUCCUACUUGCUGUCUACUCAACACUAGCAUGCAAUUUCUCAUACAGCUGAAACAUAUAAAGCAGGCACAUAAGGCAUCACUCCUAGAUCCNGAAAUCUCUUAUUCUACUUCAUCUAGUCCUCAGCUGCUGCAGGCCUCCUUAUAAUGCCAAUUAGCCAUUACCCGAAUACCAUCAUAUGUGAUGAGGAUCAGAUAAUUCUUCGAGUAAUAGACUCGUCCCUACAACGGUUGGACUCAAACAAGAGCUGCACAAUAGGAUCAAAUCCAGCACUCUAAGAUUAUUCAACCCUGAUCACAUGUGACGUGACGUAUUCACCUAAUGGAUAACUCCCAUUAUUUAGAGUCCCACAAAGCACAAAGCAAGCAGCAUUCAGACAAGGGUAACAAUCUCAAUCAAUGCUAAGUUCAUACUAUCUGCUUACAGGAGCUUGUACUAGCAUACAAUGCUAAGUUCAUACUAUCAGGCAUAACCUAAUCAGGCUAUCCUACUUGCUGUCUACUCAACACUAGCAUGCAAUUUCUCAUACAGCUGAAACAUAUAAAGCAGGCACAUAAGGCAUCACUCCUAGAUCCUUAGUCCUAUUCUAGCAUGCUGCUCUACAAAAGCUGAUAAACAUAACAUAAACUUGUAUGGGUACUUUGGGGAAUACUUACUUGAGCUCGGCCGGUCGCGCACAUCACACACUUCGUUCUUUCUCAAAACUCUUUUCUCAAUUUU